UACGGGGGGGGUAAGCGUUGUUCGGAAUUACUGGGCGUAAAGGGCUCGUAGGCGGCCAACUAAGUCAGACGUGAAAUCCCUCAGCUUAACUGGGGAACUGCGUCUGACACUGGAUGGCUUGGAUUCGGGAGAGGAAUGCGGAAUUCCAGGUGUAGCGGUGAAAUGCGUAGAUAUCUGGAGGAACACCGGUGGCGAAGGCGGCAUUCUGGACCGAUAUUGACGCUGAGGAGCGAAAGCCAGGGGAGCAAACGGG
rnacentral:rRNA from 1 species